CUUGCUUCUCUUGAUAGCGGCGGACGGGUGAGUAAUGCCUAGGAAUCUGCCUGGUAGUGGGGGAUAACGUUCGGAAACGAACGCUAAUACCGCAUACGUCCUACGGGAGAAAGCAGGGGACCUUCGGGCCUUGCGCUAUCAGAUGAGCCUAGGUCGGAUUAGCUAGUUGGUGGGGUAAUGGCUCACCAAGGCGACGAUCCGUAACUGGUCUGAGAGGAUGAUCAGUCACACUGGAACUGAGACACGGUCCAGACUCCUACGGGAGGCAGCAGUGGGGAAUAUUGGACAAUGGGCGAAAGCCUGAUCCAGCCAUGCCGCGUGUGUGAAGAAGGUCUUCGGAUUGUAAAGCACUUUAAGUUGGGAGGAAGGGCCUUUACCUAAUACGUGAUGGUUUUGACGUUACCGACAGAAUAAGCACCGGCUAACUCUGUGCCAGCAGCCGCGGUAAUACAAAGGGUGCAAGCGUUAAUCGGAAUUACUGGGCGUAAAGCGCGCGUAGGUGGUUUGUUAAGUUGGAUGUGAAAUCCCCGGGCUCAACCUGGGAACUGCAUUCAAAACUGACUGACUAGAGUAUGGUAGAGGGUGGUGGAAUUUCCUGUGUAGCGGUGAAAUGCGUAGAUAUAGGAAGGAACACCAGUGGCGAA
rnacentral:rRNA from 1 species